UACGUAGGUGGCAAGCGUUAUUCGGAUUUAUUGGGCGUAAAGGGAACGCAGGCGGUCUUUUAAGUCUGAUGUGAAAGCCUUCGGCUUAACCGGAGUAGUGCAUUGGAAACUGGGAGACUUGAGUGCAGAAGAGGAGAGUGGAACUCCAUGUGUAGCGGUGAAAUGCGUAGAUAUAUGGAAGAACACCAGUGGCGAAAGCGGCUCUCUGGUCUGUAACUGACGCUGAGGUUCGAAAGCGUGGGUAGCAAACAGG
rnacentral:rRNA from 1 species